UCCCUCCUGAGGCUGCUGGCCCAGUCAAAGAGGACAACCUUCUCCCACUAGAGAAGAGCCCGUCUUCAGUCAAGAAUAUACUAGUAGCUGUGUUCCUGACUGAACUCCAAACAAGCUCUCAAGGGACUACUUAAGUGGGACCAGUAAGAAUGAAAGA
rnacentral:sRNA from 1 species